GACGAACGCUGGCGGCGUGCCUAAUACAUGCAAGUCGAACGAGAGCAACCGGUGCUUGCACUGGUCAAUCUAGUGGCGAACGGGUGAGUAACACGUGGGUAACCUGCCCAUCAGAGGGGGAUAACAUCCGGAAACGGAUGCUAAAACCGCAUAGGUCUUCGAACCGCAUGGUUUGAAGAGGAAAAGAGGCGCAAGCUUCUGCUGAUGGAUGGACCCGCGGUGCAUUAGCUAGUUGGUGAGGUAACGGCUCACCAAGGCCGUGAUGCAUAGCCGACCUGAGAGGGUGAUCGGUCACAUUGGGACUGAGACACGGCCCAAACUCCUACGGGAGGCAGCAGUAGGGAAUCUUCCGCAAUGGACGCAAGUCUGACGGAGCAACGCCGCGUGAGUGAAGAAGGUUUUCGGAUCGUAAAACUCUGUUGUUAGAGAAGAACAAGUGCUAGAGUAACCGUUAGCGCCUUGGCGGUAUCUAACCAGAAAGCCACGGCUAACUACGUG
rnacentral:rRNA from 1 species